rnacentral:rRNA from 1 species
CUUGGUGUUACUGCGAAGGGGGGACGGAGAAGGCUAUGUUAGCCGGGCGACGGUUGUCCCGGUUUAAGCAUGUAGGCUGGUUAUCCAGGCAAAUCCGGAUAAUCAAGGCUGAGGUGUGAUGACGAGGUACUACGGUGCUGAAGUAACAAAUGCCCUGCUUCCAGGAAAAGCCUCUAAGCAUCAGGUAACAUCAAAUCGUACCCCAAACCGACACAGGUGGUCAGGUAGAGAAUACCAAGGCGCUUGAGAGAACUCGGGUGAAGG